rnacentral:rRNA from 1 species
AUUGAACGCUGGCGGCAUGCUUUACACAUGCAAGUCGAACGGUAACAGGCCGCAAGGUGCUGACGAGUGGCGAACGGGGGGGUAAUGCAUCGGAACGUGCCCAGUCGUGGGGGAUAACUACUCGAAAGAGUAGCUAAUACCGCAUACGAUCUAUGGAGGAAAGCGGGGGACCGUAAGGCCUCGCGCGAUUGGAGCGGCCGAUGUCAGAUUAGGUAGUUUGUGGGGUAAAGGCUCACCAAGCCAACGAUCUGUAGCUGGUCUGAGAGGACAACCAGCCACACUGGGACUGGGACACGGCCCAGACUCCUACGGGAGGCAGCAGCGGGGAAUUUUGGACAAUGGGCGCAAGCCUGCUCCAGCAAUGCCGCGUGCAGGAAGAAGGCCUUCGGGUUGUAAACUGCUUUUGUACGGAACGAAACGGCUCUGGUUAAUACCCGGGGCUAAUGACGGUACCGUAAGAAUAAGCACCGGCUAACUACGUG